UGGAGAAUCCCGUGAACCAUCAAGUUUCUGAACGCAAGUUGCGCCUGAAGCCAUUAAACCGAUGGUGACCUGCCUGGGCGUUACACGCUGUUGCCCCUCCCGGCACCUCCCUUGGAAGCGUCGGUGAGCGGACGAUGGCUUUCAGUACGUCACCACAUGUGGUUGGCACAAAUGUUUAGUCCCCGGCGACGAACGCCACGACAAUCGUUGGUUGUCAAACCUCGGUUGCUUGUUGUGCACUUUCACCGAGCUCUGGGCGGCUCAUGAUGCUCACUGCUUUACUUCGACGGAGCCUUCAACGCGACCCCAGGUCAGGCAGGGUUACCCACUAAA
rnacentral:rRNA from 1 species